GAUCUUGGCCUAAUGGUUAAGGCACCCAAGUAGUAUUUUUGAGGUCCUGGGUUCGACUCCCCGUAGGAGCG